GGGCUCAAUGGUAGAGAAUCUGCUUGGCGUGCAAAAGCUCACAGGUUCGAUCCCUGGCAUCCCCA
rnacentral:tRNA from 1 species